CUACGGGUUGCUGCAGUCAAGAAUCUUUCCCAAUGGACGAAAGUCUGAGGGAGCGACGCCGCGUGAUCGAAGAAGCCCUUCGGGGUGUAAAGAUCUUUUGUGAAGGACGAAUCAAUGACGGUACUUCACGAAUAAGAGGUUGCUAACUCUGUGCCAGCAGCAGCGGUAAUACAGAGACCUCAAGCGUUAUCCGGAUUUACUGGGCGUAAAGCGUCCGCAGGUGUCCCGUCAAGUUUUUAGUCAAAUCUUAAAGCUUAACUUUAAGACUGCUGAAAAAACUGACGGGAUAGAGGCUGGAAGAGGCAAGCGGAAUUGCUGGUGUAGCGGUAAAAUGCAUUUAUAUCAGCAAGAACACCAAAUGCGAAGGCAGCCUGCUAGUACAGUCCUGACACUCAUUGGACGAAAGCGUGGGUAGCGAAAGGGAUUAGAUACCCUAGUAGUC
rnacentral:rRNA from 1 species